rnacentral:rRNA from 1 species
AGCAGCCGCGGUAAUUCCAGCUCCAAUAGCGUAUAUUAAAGUUGUUGCAGUUAAAAAGCUCGUAGUUGAAUUUCGGGGUCAGUAGGUCGGUCGUGCCACUGGUAUGCACUGGUCUCACUGAUUCCUCCUUCUUGAAGAACCGUAAUGUCAUUAACUUGGUGUUGCGGGGAAACAGGACUGUUACCUUGAAAAAAUUAGAGUGUUUAAAGCAGGCCAGCGCCUGAAUACAUUAGCAUGGAAUAAUGAAAUAGGACGUUCGAUCCUAUUUUGUUGGUUUCUAGGAUUGACGUAAUGAUUAAUAGGGAUAGUUGGGGGCAUUAGUAUUCAAUUGUCAGAGGUGAAAUUCUUGGAUUUAUUGAAGACUGACUACUGCGAAAGCAUUUGCCAAGGAUGUUUUCAUUAAUCAAGAACGAAAGUUAGGGGAUCGAAGACGAUCAGAUACCGUCGUAGUCUUAACCAUAAACUAUGCCGAC